rnacentral:rRNA from 1 species
UACGGAGGGGACUAGCGUUGUUCGGAAUUACUGGGCGUAAAGCGCGUGUAGGCGGCUUGGCAAGUCGGGUGUGAAAUCCCUCAGCUUAACUGAGGAAGUGCGCCCGAAACUGCCGAGCUUGAGUACCGGAGAGGGUGGCGGAAUUCCCCAAGUAGAGGUGAAAUUCGUAGAUAUGGGGAGGAACACCGGUGGCGAAGGCGGCCACCUGGACGGAUACUGACGCUGAGACGCGAAAGCGUGGGGAGCAAACAGG